UACGGAGGGGACUAGCGUUGUUCGGAAUUACUGGGCGUAAAGCGCACGUAGGCGGAUUUGUAAGUCAGGGGUGAAAUCCCGGGGCUCAACCUCGGAACUGCCUUUGAUACUGCAAAUCUCGAGUCCGGAAGAGGUGAGUGGAAUUCCUAGUGUAGAGGUGAAAUUCGUAGAUAUUAGGAAGAACACCAGUGGCGAAGGCGGCUCACUGGGUCCGGUACUGACGCUGAGGUGCGAAAGCGUGGGGA
rnacentral:rRNA from 1 species